GUAUCCCUCCCUCCUUUUUUUUUUUUUUUGUUUGAGAUGAGGAUCUCACUAUGUUGCCCAGGCUGGACUUGAAAUCCUAAAUUCAAGCAAUCCUCCUGCCUCAACCUCGAGUAGCUGGGACUACAGGUAUACGCCUCCACGUUUGGCUCUUCCUUCCUUUUAGAAUGGCAGGUGCUGUGCUGAAUGCCUGGGAAGAUGGCCCCAAUGUUCCUCCCCAAGGGAUUGCCAGUCACAUCAGCACAGCACGGGAUGGAUCCUGCUGUGCCAACACUCUCUGCAGGCUUGUGGGGACCCUGGCUGAGAUGUCUGGACACCUGGAUUUCAAUCCGGUCUUUGCCAUCCACUCCCUGUGUGGCCCUCCCCCGCAAACUAAAUAAAAAUUUCAUGAGUUGGGGAAGGAGACUCAAGGGGAAGUGAGACGAGAGGACGGAAGUGAGUUGAAGAGCAGGGAGGAGCCUGGAGCCUGGAGCCUGGGCCUCCCUGUGCUGUGAUGUGUGCCAGAGUGGAAGCGGAAGUGGAAGCAGAAGCAGAAGUGGUCCUGCCGGUAGGUGUGACUGGCCUCACAGAGCUGCCAGGAUGCACCUGAGUGCUCAAGAGGGUUUCCCACAGCCCCAGGUGGAUUGGACUCAGAAGCAUGUUUCUGAUGUGCUCAAGAGUGUGGCCCAGACAAGGCACAGAGGACAGGAGUGUCAGAGGCAUUCAAACAAGAGCGACUCCAUCCUGAACGGGGGCUGGGUAAAAUGACGCUGAGGCCUGCCAGGUUGCAUUCCCAGGAGGUUAGGCAUUCUUAAGUCACUGGAUGAGAUAGGAGAGGGGCACAAGAUACUGGUUACAAAGACCCUGCUGAUAAAACAGGUUGCAGUAAAGAAGCUCGCCCAAACCAAAAUGGCAAUGAAAGUAACCUCUGGUCAUCCUCACUGCUCAUUACACGCUAAUUAUAAUGCAUUAGGAUGCUGAAAGACACUCCCACCAGCCCCAUGACAGUUUACAAACGCCAUAGCAACAUCUGGAAGUUACUCUAUAUGACUUAAAAGGAAAAGGAACUCUCAGUUCUGGGAAAUUCCCACCCCUUUCCUGGAAAAUUCAUGAAUAAACCACUCCUUGUUUAGCAUAUGAUCAAGAAAUAACCAUAAAAGUAGCCAACCAGCAGCCCUUCGUGCUGCUCUGCCUGUAGAGUAGCCGUUGUUUUAUUCCUUUACUUUCUUCAUAAACUUGCUUCUGCUUUA
rnacentral:lncRNA from 1 species